GAUCAUGGCUCAGGAUGAACGCUAGCUACAGGCUUAACACAUGCAAGUCGAGGUGCAGCAUGGUCUUAGCUUGCUAAGGCCGAUGGCGACCGGCGCACGGGUGAGUAACGCGUAUCCAACCUGCCUUACACUCUUGGACAGCCUUCUGAAAGGGAGAUUAAUACAAGAUGUUAUCAUGAGUAAGCAUUUUCGCAUGAUAAAGGUUUACCGGUGUAAGAUGGGAUGCG
rnacentral:rRNA from 1 species